GGGGAUGUAGCUCAGUGGGUAGUGCCUGCCCCGCAUGCCCAAGGCCCUGGGUUCAAUCCCAGCACCCCCC
rnacentral:tRNA from 1 species